rnacentral:snRNA from 1 species
AGCUUUGCGCAGUGGCAGUAUCGUAGUCAAUGAGGUUUAUCCGAGGCGCGAUUAUUGCUAAUUGAAAACUUUUCCCAAUAUCCUGCCAUGACGACUUGAAAUAUAGUCAGCAUUGGCAAUUUUUGACAGUCUCUAUGGAAA